ensembl:lncRNA
GUUAUUUUCUCCUGCAGUGUCUAAUUCAAGGACGGUGGGAAGAAGUUCUCAAGGCCAGCAAGAGAGUGAGUGUGUGUCCCAAACAGGCUAAUCAGAGCGGCAUCCUCUCAGAGGAAACUGCACACACACACACACACUCAUGGCCUCCAGAGACUCUGCUGCUCUUUUUGCCCACACUGCAUCUACUGCAAACAAAUCAGGACCAUAAUGCCGUGUGACACUCGCUCCCUGCAGUCCUGCCUGUGGCCCGGAGACAGGAACGCCGCUCCAGUGAUUGACAAGGACAAAAAGAGGUGUGAUCCCAUUUAUGUUUCUGAAUCGUCAACCACAGCGAUGGGAGACGGGAAUGACAGCUGGGACUGUAACUUUGAGCGUGAGAGUUGCAAACGAUUUGCCCUUACCUCUGAGAUCCGGAUCUGUGACGAAAAGACGUGGAAUCCUCCCCGGCCCCGGCAACUGCUCAGCUGAGUCCGGGCUGCUUGAAGCUCAUAGGAACGUUCAGUUCAGAAUAAUAUGUUACUCAUAAAUAAGUUAAUCAGAGGCUCUUCUUUUAAUAAAGUUUUUCGCAUUACCAUUUGUCAUGGCUUCGCUUUAUUAAUAGACAAUAACUCAUAAGUAACAAAAAUGAAAAUAACAGCGAAUAAUUCUUCACCAUUGAAGUGCGGCCCCGCACACAGAUUUUCUCUACCUUUUAUAGCCUUGCAUAUCAUUUGCAUUUCUUCCCUGCCUUCUCCCUUAUUUGGUAAUCAUGUGUAUUUAUACACAAACCGAGUACAUG